CUAUACAUGCAGUAGAACGCUGAAGAGAGGAGCUUGCUCUUCUUGGAUGAGUUGCGAACGGGUGAGUAACGCGUAGGUAACCUGCCUUGUAGCGGGGGAUAACUAUUGGAAACGAUAGCUAAUACCGCAUAACAAUGGAUGACACAUGUCAUUUAUUUGAAAGGGGCAAUUGCUCCACUACAAGAUGGACCUGCGUUGUAUUAGCUAGUAGGUGAGGUAACGGCUCACCUAGGCGACGAUACAUAGCCGACCUGAGAGGGUGAUCGGCCACACUGGGACUGAGACACGGCCCAGACUCCUACGGGAGGCAGCAGUAGGGAAUCUUCGGCAAUGGGGGCAACCCUGACCGAGCAACGCCGCGUGAGUGAAGAAGGUUUUCGGAUCGUAAAGCUCUGUUGUAAGUCAAGAACGAGUGUGAGAGUGGAAAGUUCACACUGUGACGGUAGCUUACCAGAAAGGGACGGCUAACUACGUGCCAGCAGCCGCGGUAAUACGUAGGUCCCGAGCGUUGUCCGGAUUUAUUGGGCGUAAAGCGAGCGCAGGCGGUUUGAUAAGUCUGAAGUUAAAGGCUGUGGCUCAACCAUAGUUCGCUUUGGAAACUGUCAAACUUGAGUGCAGAAGGGGAGAGUGGAAUUCCAUGUGUAGCGGUGAAAUGCGUAGAUAUAUGGAGGAACACCGGUGGCGAAAGCGGCUCUCUGGUCUGUAACUGACGCUGAGGCUCGAAAGCGUGGGGAGCGAACAGGAUUAGAUACCCUGGUAGUCCACGCCGUAAACGAUGAGUGCUAGGUGUUGGAUCCUUUCCGGGAUUCAGUGCCGCAGCUAACGCAUUAAGCACUCCGCCUGGGGAGUACGACCGCAAGGUUGAAACUCAAAGGAAUUGACGGGGGCCCGCACAAGCGGUGGAGCAUGUGGUUUAAUUCGAAGCAACGCGAAGAACCUUACCAGGUCUUGACAUCCCGAUGCUAUUUCUAGAGAUAGAAAGUUACUUCGGUACAUCGGUGACAGGUGGUGCAUGGUUGUCGUCAGCUCGUGUCGUGAGAUGUUGGGUUAAGUCCCGCAACGAGCGCAACCCCUAUUGUUAGUUGCCAUCAUUCAGUUGGGCACUCUAGCGAGACUGCCGGUAAUAAACCGGAGGAAGGUGGGGAUGACGUCAAAUCAUCAUGCCCCUUAUGACCUGGGCUACACACGUGCUACAAUGGUUGGUACAACGAGUUGCGAGUCGGUGACGGCAAGCUAAUCUCUUAAAGCCAAUCUCAGUUCGGAUUGUAGGCUGCAACUCGCCUACAUGAAGUCGGAAUCGCUAGUAAUCGCGGAUCAGCACGCCGCGGUGAAUACGUUCCCGGGCCUUGUACACACCGCCCGUCACACCACGAGAGUUUGUAACACCCGAAGUCGGUGAGGUAACCUUUGGAGCCAGCCGCCUAAGGUGGAUCGGGUU
rnacentral:rRNA from 1 species